GAGCGGCGAACGGGUGAGUAACACGUGAGUAACCUGCCCCUGACUGUGGGAUAAGCCCGGGAAACUGGGUCUAAUACCGGAUACGACACCUCCCGGCAUCGGGUGGGUGUGGAAAGUUUUUUCGGUUGGGGAUGGACUCGCGGCCUAUCAGCUUGUUGGUGGGGUAACGGCCUACCAAGGCGACGACGGGUAGCCGGCCUGAGAGGGCGACCGGCCACACUGGGACUGAGACACGGCCCAGACUCCUACGGGAGGCAGCAGUGGGGAAUAUUGCGCAAUGGGCGAAAGCCUGACGCAGCGACGCCGCGUGGGGGAUGACGGCCUUCGGGUUGUAAACCUCUUUCAGCAGGGACGAAGUUGACGUGUACCUGCAGAAGAAGCGCCGGCUAACUACGUGCCAGCAGCCGCGGUAAUACGUAGGGCGCAAGCGUUGUCCGGAAUUAUUGGGCGUAAAGAGCUCGUAGGUGGNUUGUCACGUCGGGUGNGAAAGCUUGGGGCUUAACUCCAGGUCUGCAUUNCGAUACGGGCUGGGCUAGAGGUAGGUAGGGGGAGAACGGAAUUCCU
rnacentral:rRNA from 1 species